GAAAUGCGAUAAGUAAUGUGAAUUGCAGAAUUCAGUGAAUCAUCGAAUCUUUGAACGCACAUUGCGCCCCUUGGUAUUCCGGGGGGCAUGCCUGUUCGAGCGUCAUUACAACCCUCAAGCUCUGCUUGGUAUUGGGCCUCACCAUCCCGGUGGGCUUUAAAAUCAGUGGCGGUGCCAUCUGGCUUCAAGCAUAGUAAUACAUCUUGCUUCUGGAGUCCAGGUGGUUACUAGCCAGCAACCCCCAAUUUUUUUUAGGUUGACCUCGGAUCAGGUAGGGAUACCCGCUGAACUUAA
rnacentral:misc_RNA from 1 species